rnacentral:rRNA from 1 species
GGAUAACCUACCUAUAAGACUGGGAUNNCUUCGGGAAACCGGAGCUAAUACCGGAUAAGAUUUUGAACCGCAUGGUUCAAUAGUGAAAGACGGCCUUGCUGUCACUUAUAGAUGGAUCCGCGCCGUAUUAGCUAGUUGGUAAGGUAACGGCUUACCAAGGCAACGAUACGUAGCCGACCUGAGAGGGUGAUCGGCCACACUGGAACUGAGAGCACGGUCCAGGGGAGGCAGCAGUAGGGAAUCUUCCGCAGGCGAAAGCCUGACGGAGCAACGCCGCGUGAGUGAUUCGGAUCGUAAAACUCUGUUAUCAGGGAAGAACAAACGUGUAAGUAACUGUGCACGUCUUGACGGUACCUGAUCAGAAAGCCACGGCUAACUACGUGCCAGCAGCCGCGGUAAUACGUAGGUGGCAAGCGUUAUAUUGGGCGUAAAGGCGCGUAGGCGGUUUUUUAAGUCUGAUGUGAAAGCCCACGGCUCAACCGUGGAGGGUCAUUGGAAAAACUUGAGUGCAGAAGAGGAAAGUGGAAUUCCAUGUGUAGCGGUGAAAUGCGCAGAGAUAUGGAGGAACACCAGUGGCGAAGGCGACUUUCUGGUCUGUAACUGACGCUGAUGUGCGAAAGCGUGGGGAUCAUUAGACCUGGUAGUCCACGCCGUAAACGAUAAGUGUUAGGGGGUUUCCGCCCCNUUAGUGNUGCAGCUAACGGCAUUAANCACUCCGCCUGGG